rnacentral:tmRNA from 1 species
GGGGACGACAGGCUUCGACGUGGUCGGAUCGUGGGGGUGGUUGCGAGUCGAGGUUCCCGGGCGGCCUCGUAAAUCACCCGGGAAAACAAUAAGUGCGGACGUACAUGAGUACGCCCUCCCCGCUAUGGCCUAAGGCCUAGCCUGGGAAGCUCUCGGCCCCCGCUAGCCUGCGGUGGGGAUCGCCGGGAUCAGAUAGCAGGCUCCACUCGGUGAGGUUCGCUCCCACCAAUCCGAGGACAUCUCAGGGAGCUGGCUGUUGGCAACCCCGCCGGCGUGGCGAGCCAACCGCGAGAUCAGAGCGCCGGAUACACUCGUAGACGCCAUCCCUUACGCGACCGCGGACGCGGGUUCAAUUCCCGCCGUCUCCACCU